rnacentral:tRNA from 1 species
UGGAGCUCAGUUGUUAGAGUGCUUGCCUAACAUGCAAUAAACUCUGGGUUCUAGUCUCAGCA